rnacentral:rRNA from 1 species
CAGUCGCCACGGGAAUACGAAGGGUGCAAGCGUUACUCGGAAUUACUGGGCGUAAAGCGUGCGUAGGUGGUGGUUUAAGUCCGUUGUGAAAGCCCUGGGCUCAACCUGGGAAUUGCAGUGGAUACUGGGUCACUAGAGUGUGGUAGAGGAUAGUGGAAUUUCCGGUGUAGCAGUGAAAUGCGUAGAGAUCGGAAGGAACAUCUGUGGCGAAGGCGACUAUCUGGGCCAACACUGACACUGAGGCACGAAAGCGUGGGGAGCAAACAGGAUUAGAUACCUCGGUAGUCCCUGUCUCUUAUAC